AUCAAGUUUAUUAUCUCACAGAAACAAAGAAAUUCGUUUUAUUAAUGAAUUUUCGAUGUUUCUUCUCAGUUUCCUUUAGCAUCGAACGAAGAACAUUAUAUGAUCAAACGUUUCAUCGUUCAGAUCAUAUUUCGUUUAAAAAGAUUGAAAUUGAUAUUGAGAUAAAAUCAAAAAGUAUCCGUUGUUCUCGAACAUUCUAGUAUUCCUUCGCCGCCCGGGAGAAAGACAGGUAUGAAGAAAGAGGAUAUUUUUUUUAUUAACUUUUUAAUAUUGAUAUUUCGACAAAUAUUGACGUGUGCAGUGAGAAAAUCAAGUGAAAUUUUGAAUAAUAUCGUUUUAAUAAUUUGUGAAACGAAUUAGUUUGGUUUUUUCCAUUUUUAUUAGGUUCCGUCAGUGCUGAUUGACGCGCCACUCCAGUUUCCAUUUCCGUUUCUCGAAAUUUCCCACGUCCUUAGUCUUUGGGACUCUUUGCCCAGGUAACCGCAUUGCUUCUGGGUACGUCUCACCGUUCGGGUCUCUCGAGCUUUCGGUGUCAGUUGUUACCGUUGAAGGAAGAGAAGCUGGUGACGGAUAUUAUCGAAUAAAUCGUUUAUUCUGGAAAAGUUCGAACAAAGGAAAUCAACUUACACGGAUAUACUUCUUGGAAUCACCUCUCCAUUUGUCCACCAAUGAGCUGGUCGUUACGUUAAAAAAGGUGCAUUGGCAUUCUGUUGCGACUGCCUUCGCCAACAUCGUCUUCCCUAUUUCAUAAUUGCUUGUAAACAUGUAUGGGAAUGAAAGAAAUACGAGUAUCUUACCUGUACCAGGUGGUCCAUAUAGCAGAAUACUUUUACAGGGAGCAAAUGGGCCUUUAAAAAAGAUAGGGUAUUUAAGGGGAUACACAAUGGCAUCCUUAAUGGCAGAUUUACAUUCCUCUAGGCCUGCAAUGUUGUCCCAAUAUACAUUUAAUUCUUUCAGUAUGAUUUC